ensembl:snRNA U6 U6 spliceosomal RNA
GUGCUCUCUUCGGCAGCACACAUACUAAAAUUGAAAUGAUACAGAGAAGAUUAGCAUGACCCGUGUGCAAGAGUGACACACAAAUUCAUGAAGUUCCAUAUUUUA